rnacentral:lncRNA from 1 species
CUGGGACUGGUACUGCUCAGGGACCUGCUUCUUCGUGUCUCUUGCCCCACGACCUCAAAACAAGGGCUGCCAGCUUCUCCAUGCCAUAGAGGUUUGUGGAUUGAUUCCUUCAAAGUGUGACAAGAAUUUGUUGGAAAAUACCUAAAUGGAGUCUCUCUGCGCCGAGUUUGGAGUUCAGUGGCAUGAUCUCGGCUCACUGCAACCUCCGCUUCCUGGGUUCAAGCAAUUCUCCUGCCUCAGCCUCCCGAGUAGGUGAGAUUACAGGUGCUCGCCACCAGGCCCAGCUAAUUUUUGAAUUUUUAGUAGAGACAAGGUUUCGCCCUGUUGGCCAAGCUGGUCUCAAACUCCUUACCUCAAGUGAUCCACCUGCCUCCGCCUCCCAAAGUUCUGGGAUUACAGGCGUGAGCCACCGCUCCCGGCCUCUCUACCUUCUUUGUCCCACAGGAAAAAGGAAUAUGCUUCUUUGGGAAGGACAUGAACUAGGGCGACAGCAAAAGGAAAGCGAAUGUGGGGCUGUUUUGGAGUCCCAUACACUCUCAGCGGCAGAGCAAUAUUAAAACUUCCUAGAAGACAUCUGAGCAGCAAUUCUAAUAAUCAUGUAUUAUGUAUCUGCAAUAAAUAAACCAUGAACCAACUAGCAAA